UAUCCACGUCCACGUUCCGCAACAAAACAGAUUCCAAAAGAGCCGCCAUUCUGGGCUGCGCGGCUGAGGGACACAAGAAGGAGGCGGGGUCGUCGUGCGCGCAGGCGUACUGUCAAAGUGGAGGCUCGACAGACGAGAAGGAACGGUAGCACGUACGGACAGGAGAGAAGAAAGGAAUACUCAGUUUUUGCUCUAGUGAUGAAACGAUCUCCAGCACAGACAAGGCUCAGUCAUCCCUCGCUGUAUAUACAGAGGGGCAAGGAAGAGGCAUUAAGGCUGUUCUGACUGAACGCUGUCCGCCUUCGGGAUGAGUCAUCAGAGCUGCUCGGUGAGACUAAUCUGCACGAGUCGAAAGAAGCAGGACCACUUCACAUCUGCGAACGAGCUGCAUAUCAGCUCGAGCCAUCAAAAUAUUUGGCAAUAUUACUAUUGUCUUUGUCCUUAUGUAUAGCAGCAUCCCAUUACACAGGAUCUCAUGCGACUACAAUCUCCUCCAUUUUGUGCAUCAGAUUAGUGGAAUGCACUACUAAAAACAGCAUCAUGUACAGUGCCUUGCAAAAAUAUGCAUACUGUUUGUCAGAUGCUUAGAGCGACAGUCACAUUGGAUCUUAUUUAGCAGCAUCAGAAUAAAUAUCAAAACAUGAUAUUUGAAUACAAAUGCAGGCCAAAUAAAAUCACAUAAAAUCCAAAUGUAAUGCACUAUAUGAUGACAUCUACCAUUGUAGCACAAUUCCCAUGGUGAAUCAUGAUGGUGCGGAUACUUUUUUUUAGCAGGACAUUGACCGUGGGUUAAUAAAACUAAAUCCAGAGCAGCCCAGAAGGGAAAACAAGGAUUAGGUUGCAAAAGACUGGACACUACAAUGGACUAUUUAAAUCUAAUCAUAUUCAUGGUAGAAUGACCUAGUCAAUGUCCAGCCCUAAGCUCAAUUGAGAAUUUGUAGUAAGGCUUAAAAGUGUAUGUUCAGUCACUCCAAUUCUCGGACGGCUACGUGUUACUUCUACUUGAGUAAAAAUAUUUUUGAAGAAGUGCUGCUCUUACUCGAGUACAACUUUUGGAGAUGUGCUCGUAUUUUUCCAAGACACUGUAAGCAGCAACAUAGACCCAAAUCAGGACAAGAAGCACAAAGACACAGGGUCUAAGGAAUUAAGUCUGUUGACUUACUCAGGUAAUGAUGUUCUCAUUGGGUUAAAAGAAUACCACUUGAUGGAAUGCGCUGUGCGACUCUUUUGCUCAGCAGCUGGUAUAUGUGUCUGCGUUUUCUCGGCAUGCAAAGAGUAGCAAUUGAAGGAGGCUGAAGUUAGCAGUAUCGUCCAAGCAGAGGGUCUGGAGAAGGAGGCGUAGCGAGGAGAUAAGAUAAAGCUGAUAAAACAGCAGCCAGGAAUGGUCUUCAGUGCAGGAUACAUGGAGGUUUAAAGCAUUGUUUUGUUUUGUGAAAUGCAUGUCUAUAUGGCCUCGAUUUUUUGUAUUAUCAGAGGGUUUUUUUUUUGUUUUUUGAGGUUGCUUUUGUUCAAAGCCAAAGACAGCAACACAUAGAUAUACAUCAACCCUGAAACCUAAAAACUGUCCCUCCCCCCAAUAGUAAGAGCUACUUUGUCCAAAAACUACAAAAUGCCCGUUUUGCUACCUUGGUCAUAGAAAUGAAGAUUAAUGUACAGGUUUAACUUUUUAAGUGCUGGCACAAGUCUUCUUGGCCUUUUAUUCCCAAAUUACAAAAAACGAUAGUAAAUCUUUAAGCUGCCCAAAGUGCCAAGGCACAUGCUGAGAGAAACGUCUGUGUCCAUGCAUUACUCACCAGUAAUACACCUUAUGCUGUUCAGCCUACGUCAACCAUGACCACUUGAAAAAAAAAAAAAAA